CGUAGGGUCCAAGCGUUGUCCGGAUUUACUGGGCGUAAAGAGCGCGUAGGCGGCUCGUUAAGUGUGAAGUGAAAUCUCUAGGGCUCAACCCAGAAACUGCUUUACAUACUGGCGAGCUGGAGUGAUGAAGAGGUUUGUGGAAUUCCUGGUGUAGCGGUGAAAUGCGUUGAUAUCAGGAGGAACACCCAUGGCGAAGGCAGCAAACUGGUCAUCAACUGACGCUGAGGCGCGAAAGCGUGGGUAGCAAACAGGAUUAGAUACCCUGGUAGUCCACGCCCUAAACGAUGGAUACUAGGCGUAAGAGGUAUCGACCCCUCUUGUGCCGCAGCUAACGCAUUAAGUAUCCCGCCUGGGGAGUACGGCCGCAAGGUUG
rnacentral:rRNA from 1 species